rnacentral:tRNA from 1 species
AUCCCCGUAGCUCAGGUGGACAGAGCGCCGCGCUACGAACGCGGAGGUCCCAGGUUCGAGUCCUGGCGGGGGUACCG